UUUUUUUUUUUUUUUUUUUUUUGGUUUUUCGAGACAGGGUUUCUCUGUAAUAGCCCUAGCCAUCCUGGACAUCUCUCUGUAGACCAGGCUGGCCUC